AAGAUUAAACUUUCAGGGAUCAUUUCUAUAGUUCUUUACGAGAAGUUUCUCUGAUAAAUCAGUGUUAGGGAUAUAACAUACAACAUGAUGACCACAGUUCACACCAAUGUA
rnacentral:snoRNA from 2 species